CUCACUUUUAAAUCUUCAUUUGUCUCUCAGAAGAAAAUGCUAAAAGUCGUGGGAUCCUGCCCCGUGGCUGCUUGAAUGUGGAGUCCACUUAAAGAAGGGAGCAGCAAACGCAAACAAAGGGAGGUGGGAGCCCAAAUAUUUACUGACUUCAGAUGGGAGCAGCUGGGGGACCUCAUCCCCCCCCCAGGGGCGGCCCAGCAUUGCGGGGUCACCUCCCGGCUCCUUGGGCCCCGUUCUGCAUCAGCAAUGUCCAGGCCGUCCACCCCGGCUCCUGGCCGUGAGCCCGCCCCCCGCGAGCCCCAAUGCGCGGCCUCCCUCGGGGAGCCAAUGCUGGGAGCCGCCUGGAAAUUAGCUCCUUUUGGGGCCAGAAUCGAGGAAUUCUCCCUGGCCUGUGCCGGAUUAGGGACGAGGAGCUGAAUCUGCCCCGCCCGACCCUCGCCCACCAACGCGGGGACCCGAGAAGGGAAAUGGCGGCUGCCGUAGAGAUUCGAACUCGGACCCAAGGAUGAGGCUUUGGGAAGCCACGCACUGAGGGGAUGGUCCACGGUCCCUCCACAGGCAGAUCAUGGAUCAUGGGAAAGGCUGCAUCAGUUCCUGUCAGUCUCUCCGGCCUCUCUGAAAUCCUCCUGCUGGUCGUUUCUUACAGAACAAUAAUAUUCCAUAACCUUCAUAUACCACAAUUGAUUCAGCCCUUCCCCCACUGAUGGGCUCAGCUUCCAGUUUCUGGCCACUACAAAAAGCUGCCACAAACAUUCGUGCACAUGUGGGUCCCUUUCCCUUCUCUAAGAGAUCAGAAGAUUCAUCUCUGUGCUAAGUAAACAAUAAAAACAAGAAGACUUGGGAAGAGCCUCUGAGUCCGCUCAUUCAACAAUUCAAUUCGGUCAGCACUUAUUAAGCACCUGCUAUAUGCAGGGACACAAGUGGAUGCAUCUAUGUCUUCGAGGAGCUUACAAUCUAUUGGAGUGAGACCAGAGGUGGCCAGGGCAGGGACCAGAAAGUCCAUCCAAAGUCCCUGCUGGGGGUGGGGGGAGAAUGCUAGAUACUGGGGGAGACCUGGAGGAGUCCCUGAGGUGGGCUGGGUGGGGGAAGGAGGAGGGAUGGCCUUCCAGUUUAUCCCCUGAAAUCCUGUCUCGGGUUCCUCCCCACACCCCCAGUCCUUUUCACUUGUUUGAGGGUGUAUUCCCUGCCGGGACCAGCCCCAGGACUAGCUGUUCCUCCGGGGAAUGCCCCACGGGACUAGCAGAGAUUCCUGGUCAUCCUUCCCUUGAGGAGCCCAGAUUUAGGGCUGGGGGUUUAACCCCUUCACUUCCCAGAGGAGGAGGAGGCGUAGAAAGAAGCUGGGACUCGAGCUCCCAAGUAGCAAAACCAGCUCCUCUGCCCAGGCUCAGCGCCCGAGGACGGGGACGGAAGCAGUUGGUCCUGGGACUACUCACACCUUCGGGCGGCGACGACCUUCCAUGUCUGUGCCCCAGGAAGCCUCGGGACGGAGGCGAGCUCGUGGCUUUCCUCACCAGCCCUGUGGGCAGCGGGCGGAUGGCGGAGAACAUGAGCCCCAAACUGUCGCUGCAGAAUCUCCUUCACUGGCUGCAGUCCCGGAUCUGCCGUUAGUGUGACUGUGGCACUUCCUCACCUUCUGGGGAGUGAAGGCCAGAGAUUCCUCUUCUGUGAAGUGGGGGGGGUCACUCUGCCCCUUGUGGCGGUAGCUCUGGGACCCUGGGGAGUCCCCUCCCCUCUCCGGGAUCAGCAGGACUCAGUGGCCUCCGAAUCCCCUCCAUCUCUCCACCCGUGAGCUUUUUUUAUUAAAGUUUUUAUUUUCAAAACAUAUGCAUAGAUCAUUUGCAACACUGACCCCUGCAAAACCUUAGGCUCCAAUUUUUCCCUCCCUUCUCCCCCCCCAAUGACAAGU